UUUCUCAUAAUUCAAACAUUUCUUGCCUGUUUUUAUGCGUUUUUGCUGUGCAGCGCUGCUAUAGCGCUGCACAGCAAAAACGCAUAAAAACAGGCAAGAAAUGUUUGAAU
rnacentral:pre_miRNA from 1 species